rnacentral:rRNA from 1 species
UACAGAGGUCCCAAGCGUUGUUCGGAUUCACUGGGCGUAAAGGGUGCGUAGGCGGUCUGGUAAGUCUGACGUGAAAUCUCCGGGCCUAACCCGGAAACUGCGUCGGAUACUAUCCGGCUAGAGGAUUGGAGGGGAGACUGGAAUACUUGGUGUAGCAGUGAAAUGCGUAGAUAUCAAGUGGAACACCAGUGGCGAAGGCGAGUCUCUGGACAUUUCCUGACGCUGAGGCACGAAAGCCAGGGGAGCAAACGGG